GGGGUGGUGGCGCAGUUGGCUAGCGCGUAGGUCUCAUAAUCCUGAGGUCGAGAGUCCGAGCCUCUCUCACCCCA
rnacentral:tRNA from 1 species